rnacentral:rRNA from 1 species
UACGAAGGGGGCUAGCGUUGCUCGGAAUCACUGGGCGUAAAGCGCACGUAGGCGGAUUGCUAAGUCAGGGGUGAAAUCCUGGAGCUCAACUCCAGAACUGCCCUUGAUACUGGCGGUCUCGAGUCCCGGGAGGAGGUGAGUGGAACUGCGAGUGUAGAGGUGAAAUUCGUAGAUAUUCGCAAGAACACCAGUGGCGAGGGCGGCUCACUGGCCCGGUACUGACGCUGAGGUGCGAAAGCGUGGGGAGCAAACAGG